AACUGCGGAAGGACAUUGUCGAAGCCUCACAAGCAGUG
rnacentral:rRNA from 1 species